AUGAACGCUGGCGGCGUGCCUAACACAUGCAAGUCGAACGGAGAUUAGACGCUGAUGAGGCUUCGGCGGAUUCUUGUUAAUCUUAGUGGCGGACGGGUGAGUAACGCGUGGGCAACCUGCCUCAUACUGGGGGAUAGCAGUUGGAAACGACUGAUAAUACCGCAUAAGCGCACUAGAGUCGCAUGACUCAGUGUGAAAAACUCCGGUGGUAUGAGAUGGGCCCGCGUCAGAUUAGCUAGUUGGUAAGGUAACGGCUUACCAAGGCGACGAUCUGUAGCCGGACUGAGAGGUCGGACGGCCACAUUGGGACUGAGACACGGCCCAAACUCCUACGGGAGGCAGCAGUGGGGGAUAUUGCACAAUGGAGGAAACUCUGAUGCAGCGACGCCGCCGUGAGUGAAGAAGUAUUUCGGUAUGUAAAGCUCUAUCAGCAGGGAAGAAAGGCCCGCAAGGGAGAUGACGGUACCUGACUAAGAAGCCCCGGCUAACUACGUGCCAGCCGCAGC
rnacentral:rRNA from 1 species